rnacentral:rRNA from 1 species
CAGUAGCCGCGGUAAUACAGAGGGUGCGAGCGUUAAUCGGAUUUACUGGGCGUAAAGCGUGCGUAGGCGGCUUUUUAAGUCGGAUGUGAAAUCCCUGAGCUUAACUUAGUAAUUGCAUUCGAUACUGGGAAGCUAGAGUAUGGGAGAGGAUGGUAGAAUUCCAGGUGUAGCGGUGAAAUGCGUAGAGAUCUGGAGGAAUACCGAUGGCGAAGGCAGCCAUCUGGCCUAAUACUGACGCUGAGGUACGAAAGCAUGGGGAGCAAACAGGAUUAGAUACCCCAGUAGUCCCUGUCUCUUAUAC